CAGUAGCCGCGGGAAUACGAAGGGGGCUAGCGUUGCUCGGAACUACUGGGCGUAAAGGGCGCGUAGGCGGACAGUUCAGUCGAGGGUGAAAACCCGGGGCUCAACCUCGGAAUUGCCUUCGAUACUGGCUGUCUUGAGUAUGAGAGAGGUGUGUGGAACUCCGAGUGUAGAGGUGAAAUUCGUAGAUAUUCGGAAGAACACCAGUGGCGAAGGCGACACACUGGCUCAUUACUGACGCUGAGGCGCGAAAGCGUGGGGAGCAAACAGGAUUAGAUACCCGAGUAGUCCCUGUCUCUUAUAC
rnacentral:rRNA from 1 species